rnacentral:rRNA from 1 species
GACGGAGGGGGCUAGCGUUGUUCGGAAUGACUGGGCGUAAAGGGCGCGUAGGCGGUUUAUUAAGUGAGGCGUGAAAGCCCUGGGCUUAACCCAGGAGGUGCGUUUCAUACUGGUGAACUAGAGUGCGAGAGAGGAAAGUGGAAUUCCUAGUGUAGAGGUGAAAUUCGUAGAUAUUGGGAAGAACACCGGUGGCGAAGGCGGCCAUCUGGACCACUACUGACGCUGAGGCGCGAAAGCGUGGGGAGCAAACAGGAUUAGAUACCCUGGUAGU